AACCUCAUCUGAUUCCAACAAUUUUCGGGGUUAUCGCUACGACGUGUUCUUAAGCUUCAGAGGCGAAGACACUCGCAAGACUUUUACCGACCACCUCUACACAGCCUUGAACAACGCAGGAUUUCUUACGUUCCGAGACGACGAUGAACUUGAGAGAGGAGAAGAUAUAAAGCCAGAACUGCAGAAAGCGAUACAGCAGUCACGAACUUCUGUUGUCGUGUUUUCGAAAGAUUACGCGUCAUCCAGGUGGUGUCUUGAUGAGCUUGUGCUGAUCCUUGAACGCAAGAGGACCACCUCGGACCAUGUAGUUUUACCAGUCUUCUACGAUGUCGAUCCGUCCCACGUGAGGAAGCAGACAGGAAGUGUUGGAAAAGCAUUUGCUAGAAGCCAGAAAAAUCAGUCGUCGGAAAAGGUGGAGGGAUGGAGGAAGGCACUUGCAGAGAUUGCAGACCUAGCAGGCAUGGUCUUAAAAAAUCAAGCUGAUGGGUAACUUUCAUUAUCUCCAUUUCUCUUCUCUUUGUUGGGUCAAUUUGAUGUAUGAUCCGUAGUGACAUAGAUUUUUAUAUAUUUAUUAAUUCAAUCUCAGUAGUGAAUAAUAAUCCCAAUUUAGGUCAACUUAAAGAAAGCACACUCAACUCAACUUAAGGAUUAGUCAUUUUCCAUGUUAAUCUACUGGUUUCCAGGUGCUUAAAUUUUGUUUGAAAGCUGGUGUGGAAAAAAGUUAGGAUGUGAUCUGUUUUGUAUUUGUCUAUAGUUUGUAUAAAUUAUGCGCUGUAUUCUUUUUUUUUUUCAAUUUAAUUUUGUCAGGCAAUCAACAUAUGUUUUAAUUAUCUAAUUUCCCCAAUUCAUUUUUCAUUUUGUUUGCAAAUUCUUAGGUACGAGGCAAAGUUUAUCGAAAAAAUUGUUAAAGUGAUAGAAGACAAGUUAAGUCGUAUGCCAUUGAGUGUUGAACCAAAAUUGAUUGGUAUUCAAUAUCAAGCCGAACGCAUCAAUUUGUGGUUACAAGAUGGAUCAAGUGGUGUUGGUAUAUUUGUUGUGUAUGGCAUGUCUGGAAUCGGGAAGACAACCAUUGCAAAACAUGUUUACAAUUCAAACUUUAGAAGCUUUCAAGGAAGUAGUUUCAUUGAAAAUAUCAAAGAAACAGCAGAUCGACCAAAUGGCUUAGUUCAAAUACAAAUGCAACUUCUUUGUGAUAUUUUGAACGGCAGAGAAGUGAAAAUACACAGUGUUAGUGAGGGAAUAAUUAAGAUUGAAAAGGCCAUAAGCUCUAAAAGAGUUCUACUUGUUCUUGAUGAUGUUGACCAUAUGGACCAAUUAGAUGCAAUCCUAAGGAUGAAAGAUCAGUUUUAUCCUGGAAGUAAGAUACUAAUAACAACUAGGCGUGAAAGGUUGUUAAAGGCUGAUCAAGUUACAGAGGUGCACAGAGUUCAAACUUUGGAUGACAAUGAAUCAUUAAAGCUUUUCAGUUGGCAUGCUUUUGGCCAGGACCAUCCCAUAGAAGAAUACAUGGAGCACUCAAAACAGAUAGUGCAACAUAGUGGCGGACUUCCAUUAGCUCUAAAAGUUUUGGGUUCUUCUUUAUCAGGAGGAAGUAUAGGUGUAUGGGAAAGUGCAUUGGAGAAGCUAAAAGUUAUUCCUGAUGGUGAAAUCAUGAGUAAACUAAGAAUAAGCUAUGAAAGUUUAAAAGAUGACCAUGACCGGAAAUUAUUCCUCCACAUUGCUUGUUUCCUAAUAGGAAGGAACAAAAGCUACAUUGUUAGAAUAUUCGAUGGAUGUGAUUUCUAUACAAUCAUUGGCAUUCAAAAUCUCAUUGAUAGAUGCUUGGUGACACUUGAUGAAUACGGCAAGGUGGAAAUGCAUGACAUGAUUCGUGCUAUGGGAAGAGAAAUUGUUCGCCAAGAAUCAGAAGAGCCUGAGAAACGUAGUAGAUUAUGGCACCAUAAGGAUUCUUUCCAAGUAUUGAGGAAAAAGAAUGUAAGAAACAUGCCUUUUAUGUCUAUAUAUGUAUUUCUUCUUGUGAAAAUUACGCAUAUUAAUGUCUCUUUUUUUUCCUUUAGGGUACAAAAAAAAUCCAAGGUCUUGUCCUGGAUAUGCGUAACCAUCCAGCAAACAGUCCAAUAAACACAAAUGAGAUAGUCUUGGAAACCAAUGCAUUUGCAAGGAUGUGCAAUUUACAACUACUCCAUCUUAGUCAUGUACGACUGGAUGGAUGUUAUGCAGAUUUCCCUACAGGAUUAAGAUGGUUGUGUUGGCUUGAAUUUCCUUUGGAUUCUAUACCAAUUGAUUUUCCUUUGGAGAACGUAAUUGUUCUUGAAAUGCAAUACAGUAGCUUGAGACAAGUAUGCAAAGGAACAAAAGUAUGUUACUCUAUGCAUUUCAAUUCAUUUUCCUUAUUUUGUUAGUUUUUUAUUUGUUGACCAACUCCAUGUGUUAAAAUGAACUACUAUGUUUUCUUUAAUUCGAUGACUAAUUUCUUAUGUUAGAUACUUAUUUCAUUGUUCUUUUUUCUUUUCUUUUUUUCCCUCUGUUUCCACAGUUUCUUCCAUCGUUGAAGAUCCUUGACGUCAGCCAUUCUCAUGGUCUUAGUGAAACCAUUGACUUCUCACGUUCCUCCAAUCUAGAGGAACUAAUUCUUGUAGAUUGCACAAGCCUGGAGAAUGUUCAUGAAUCCAUUGGAAACCUGGAGAGACUCGUGUACUUGAAUAUGAAGGAUUGCAAGAAUCUUAGGAAGCUUCCGAAGAACAUGUGCAAGCUUAAAUCACUUGAAAUACUCAUUUUAUCUGGUUGCUCAAAUCUUGAUGAGGUUCCAGUGGAGAUGAUGAAGAAGAUGGAGUCUCUGAAAGUUCUUGAGACGGAUGGAAUUCCAAUAGGUGAAUUGUGGCCAGAAAGAAGUUCAACUAUCUUGAGUUCUUUUCCGUGCUCUUUGGUAGAGUUAAGUCUGAAGGGGUGCAAUCUUUCUGAUGAUGUCUUUUCUACGGAUUUAAGUGCUCUAUCCUACUUGCGAAGACUACAUUUGGAUGAGAAUCCAAUUUGCAGUCUGCCAGUUUUCAUCAAAGGUUUGAGGAGGAUCGAUGAACUCUCUUUCAAGGGUUGUGAUAGGCUCGAAUCGCUUGUGGGGUUGCCGGAAGUACACCAAAGGCUAAGUAUAAAAGAAUGCAUAUCAUUAAAAAAAAUAACUUUUCAUUCCCCUGGGCAACAUUAUCUAACACGUGUAUUUUGCCAUGACAACCCGAAUCUUGUUGAGUGUGAGUGCUAUUACAAGUUAGAGCCUAUUGAUAGAGUUGAUGUGGAAAUGAUCAAACUUUUGGGCUUGUGCAACUUGGAAUCCAUGCCAGCUGUUCGAAUGCAUCAUCCACUCACAAACUGGGAUCUAAUAGAGGUCCCCGUCCAGGUGCGCCUCUUUUUCUCUCUCUCUCAUAAGUCUUAAAUAUAUAAUGGGAAAGAAAUGACUGAGUAAUGUUGUGAUGACUGUGGCAAAUACAUAGGGACUGUAUCAACAUGGUAUAUUCAGCACCUUUUUUGUUGGGAAUGAGGUUCCAGGCCUGUUCAGCUAUAAAAGUACCAAGUCCUCGAUAUCUUUUAUUGUCCCUUUACUACUUGCUAGUCACAGAAUUCGAGGCUUGAACAUCUUUGCUACCUAUGCAAAGGAAAAUUCAAAUAAUUAUUCUACUAGACCUAAUAUUGGUCCAAUAAUGAUCAAAGUGAGAAACAAGAGUAAGGGUCUGAAGUGGAUCUAUGACCCAUUUUUCUAUGGAAUCCCAAGUGACGGAGAAGAUAUGAUAUGGUUGAGCCAUUGGAAGAUGGAGAAUAAAACAAUAUUACAAUGUGGAGAUGAAGUGGUGGUUUCGGUAAUAACUGGACCACGUGACAUGUUUUGGGUCAAGGAGUUUGGUGUCGAGCUUGUGCAAGAGCACCAAGACAAGAUGAGUACCCAACACAACACCAAAUCUGAUCCUAAUUAUCCAUUUGUUAUUGAUGGAGAUUUGAAGAUGUUUGAGGACAGACCGGGAAAAUACUUCCUUGGCAGUUAUUUUAUAGAAGAAAUUGAUGACAUUGAUAUCCUCACCAUGGACUCUGAUGAAGAAGACACAAGUAUGUUGUGUUGUUGUAUUGCAUUGAAUUAUACUUCAUCCAAACACUUCCAGGUGUGUCCGUAUUCAUUUCAAAAACGUUUCCAAUAAAUUUUAUGUUAUUUGUAUGUUUUUCAGACAAAGAAGGGCAAGAGGAUGAACCUGAUUACACAAUUGCAAAGACGAGGGCUGCUAGCAAUAACUGCAGCCUGAGAGGCUGGAAGGUGCGCCUCACAGCUGUCGGCUUCUUUUUCGCGCUUGCUCUAGUAGGUUGGUCCUCCAUCUCCCAAAAAAAGAAGCGACAAUCGUCCACAAGCCCACCAUGAGUUUGUAAUUUGACUUCAAAUGUGCUUGCUCUAGUAGCUAAGCACUCUUAACCGCUUGAGAUAUAAAAGCCCAUUGCAACUAGAUACUGAACUUCAAAUGUGUUCAACGCCAUCAAAUAUAGCAUAAAAUACAUCCAGCAUUAGGUUCCAAGCCCACUAUUGAAAAUCAUGUUCAUCCACUCUACACAUCCAAGGCAGCAAACUAACUAGGAUACCAGGUUGGGAGGAUACAAUCAUUAACAAUUUCAAAAGCUAUAAAUGCAAUCCGAAUACAUGGCAAGUAGGGGUAAGCAUGUGAACAAAAAAAUCAGUGAACAUAAUCAAAUCCAAUACGUCAAUUUUGGCCUAGAUUGAAAUGAAAAAAACAAGGAAAUGCUUUGUGUAUCGAUUUGUUUAUGAAGGAAAUAAAACAUAUUUCAUGGAAAGAAAACCUGUGGUUACCUUUGUCUUCCUCUGCCAUUUGUCUAUCGAUUUGUUUCUGAAAGUGGCUAUUCUACAAGAUACAACAUGACAGGUCUUAGUUAGACCAAGUAAACGGCAUGGAAAUGCUUUCUGAAGCAAGAAUGUGUACUCAAGAGCUUUGUGCCAGAGAGGUCGUCGUACCCAGUGCACAAGGCUCCCGCUUUACGCAGGGUCUGGGAGAGGUGAAUGUCGGCUAGCCUUACCCCUAUUUAUGGAGAGGACUUAAGAAAAAUGAAAAAAACAAUAUAGAAUAUGGGUAAGAAUAAAUUUCGAUUAGACAAUAAUUCACUGUAUAAAUCGUUUUUUCAACUUUAAAGUGUGGCUUAAAAAGAAGCUUUAAACAAGUAGCAAUAAUUUCAUAUUGAAAAAUAAAACCUAUUUCAUGGAUAUUACAAGAGCCAUUAUUUUGAAAAACACACCUUUUGGUUCUUCACCACUUGACUUUUAAGAAGAUCUUCGUCCUUGUGACGAUUCAAAUUCUUUAAAAUAUCUCUACGACGGAAUAAACAAAACCAAUCUAGGCCAAAAUUGACUUGUUCGAUUUGAUUAUGUUCACUGAUUUUUCUGUUCACAUGUUUACCCCUACUUGCCAUAUAGUUUUGGGGUGUUAGUGCAUAGUGCUCUUCUCUUUACACACCAGUUUCAAUUUUAUUCUUCGUAAAUUAAGAGACCGUUUGAUAAUCAUUUCGUUUUCAAUUUAAAAAAUAUAAAAAACUAAAUGAAGUUUUCAACUAGAAUUUUCGCUUUUGGUUUUCAAUUUUAAUUUUUUUUAAAACAACUGAAAACUAAAAAUAGUUGCAAAAAGAAUUUUUCAUUUUUUUUUAAUUUAUAAAAAAGUAAAAACUGAAAACUCUAAACUAUAGACUAAAAAUUAAAAAGUGAAAUCGAAAUGGGCUCUCAACAAAAUUGAAAAAAGACUGGGCUGAAUUACUGAAUUCAAAGCAGGGCUUAUUAACGUUACGAGGCCCAAUGGAUCUGGAUAAAUAUUUUUCAUUUUUUUUUAACAAACGAUAUUAUUUAUAUAGGCUUAAUUUUACAGUGGGCUAACAAUAAUGUGGUUCAAAUUUGCUUUUCGCAAGAAUAGAACCUAAAACUUCUCACUUAUAAAUGAAGAGGAAUACCACUAAACCGUAGUCCUGAUAGAUUCGUUAUUUUAUUUUAUAUUUUAAGAAAAAAGAAAGAAAGCAAUGAAAAGCUGUACAUAAAAUAAAUACAAAAAGGAAUGAAAUGAAGAAGAGUGGGAGACUAAUGUUUAAUUCAAGAUAAAGAAAGAAAGCUGAUCGCACCACGACGGCGGCGACGUGGCGGUCAUUUAACGGAAAAUAACAGACAAAUCAGCCUCCAGAUCAAAUCUUGAAGCACAACUCUGAAAAAUCGAGACUACCAACAGCUGAGCUCCGACCAACCGUUGAUGGAUGCAAUCAGGAAGCUCAGAGAUCAGGUCGCCAAGCAACAGCAGGUACUCCCUCUCGUUUGAUUCCGAAUUUGUAUUUCUGUAUGGAUUUUGAUAUGAACAUAAUCUGCGUUGAUUGCGAGAUACUGAGAUUGCUUAAUGAAAUAAUAUUUAUAUAAUUGUUCGAGUUGAAUUGGAUCGAUUCGAAUUCAAAUAGAAUGUCACUAUUUCUGAGCUGUUUGGGGAUGUGUUGGAGUGCAAUGUUGAUGAAUUUCUGAAAUUUUGAGCUAGGUGUUGCUAAUUACUUAUCGAUUUUUGAUGUAAUUGGAUGCUUAAUUUUUACAUUUUCGGAAAACUUCAAACGAAAAUGGCAUAUAAUUCAACGUUCUAUGCUUCAUUAAUGCAUAAGAGUUGGUCGAAGCUUGAUCGAGUUUGCUUUUGGUUAUUUUGUGAACACCGUCAGGCUGUGUUCAAACAAUUUUCUGGUGGCAUAUAUGGGGGAUCGGAUAAUGUUGCCUCGGAUGAAAAUGAAUUUCAACAGCAUCAGAAACUCGAGAAGCUGUACAUAUCAACUCGUGCUGCCAAGGUUGCUACGCUUAUUUUUGUCUGUGCUUUAAACGAGCAUCACGUUAGUUGUGUUACCUAUCGUUUUUUUGCUUCAUCUUUAACAGCAUUACCAAAAGGAAAUUGUCCGCGGAGUGGAAGGUUACAUUGUGGCCGGUUCAAAGCACGUUGAAAUAGGUAUGUUGCUUGAAAUGCGUUGUCUUUUCUUUGGAGUUUGGAUAUGAAUUCAUGCUGGUUUUAUCAGUUGGUAUACAUAAUAUUUUUUCAACAGGUACCAAGCUAUCAGAAGAUAGCAGGAAAUAUGGUUCUGAAAAGACUUGCACCAGUGAUAACACAUUGUCGAGAGCUGCACUUAGUUUUGGAUGAGGUGGGGCCCAAAUGGAAAAAGAGUGCGGAGUUCUACUUAAAGCCCUUGGCACACAGGUUUAAGUCAAAUUAUUACUAACAGAGGCUAUUAAGUAAAAAUCAAAUAUUGCCAGGGCCGGCUUCAUACAAAUGGAAUUUCAACUGACUAAUUUUCGUGUGCAUUUGAUCAUUUCGAAAGAAAUUUACAGCAAAAAUUGUUUUCAUUUCCACGUCGUGGUUCAAGAAUUGGACUACUUUUUGUGUUUCUAUGCAUCGUAUGACAAACUGGCUCACCAUUUCUUUCUAUAGGUUUGCAUAAUAACUCUUUGUGUGCUUAUCAAUUUGCCUGUGUAGGUUGCAUAGCCUUUAUAGUGGGAGCGCCCAUGGAGGAUGCUCGACAUCUUGCUCAACGUUAUGCUAGAAUGCGGCAAGAAGCUGAAGCUCAGGUAUAUGCAGUUUCUUCUGUUUCCUACCAAUUUUAUUCUACAGUGAUUUUAUAUCCAAAACAAGCAUUGACUUGGCUGUCCAUCCAUCAAUAGCAGGUCCACAUCUCAACCCAAAUAUAAUGACGUCAAAGGAGAGGGGAAAAUGAGAAGGAAACUCUGGAGGGUAGAGGGAAGGAAAAGGGGAAAAGGAGAAAGGGAGAAGGGAAAAGUAGAACGGGAAGGAGGAAAAUGAGAGGAAAUUUCGGAGAAUAGAGAAAGGGAGAAGGGAAAAGAAGAAAAGCAGAAAAGAAGGGAAAAGGGGAAGGAAGCUUAGGAGGCUAGAGAAAAAGAUGGAAAUGCAUAAAAAUAAAAAAAUAAAAAAGGAAAGUCGCCUUCAUCAUUAUGUCUACUAACGGAAAGGAGCAACCACAUUGUAAAUUAUAUUUUGUAUAAUGAGAAACCAGUAUUCCUACCCUGAGGGUAUAGACACAACUUGCUGAAUCUCGUUACUAUACAGCAAGUUUAUAAUUGCACAAUAAUUCGAUCAAUCAUCUUAAGUUCAACCAUACAUGUAACAAGAUUUAAGUUUUUCCAAACUUUCCUUAUGAAGGUAACUGAACAUUACAAGUGUCACGUUAUUAUGCGAUUCUAUCAAGUUUUAAUUUUUGUCUCAUAACCACAUUACAAGUGCCACGUUAUUUAUUUUAUCCUUUAUUUUAUCUUUAUUAUUAAAACUUAAAAUUUUCAUAUUUUUUUAUUAAUUUUUUUUUAUAAAAUCACACGUAAAACAAGAAGUAAUCUUUUCUUUUUCUUUUCAUCUCUGCCACUAGCGGCCGACCAUGACUUAAAGAAACGCUUUUUGGAUGGGUCAAUGUAUGGGAACGACCCAUUUUAUAUGUUACAUGGUUGUGCAAUUAAAAGUGCAUUUUAUCAUAAAAAUGUGAGCAACGAUCAAUAUAAUUGUUAUUUAUAAAAUCACACAAAACACAAGAAGGAAUCUUUUCUUUUUCUUUUUCAUCUCUGCCACUACCAGCCGACCAUGACUUAAAAGAAACGCUUUUUGGUUCAAUGGAUGGGAACGACCUAUUUUAUAAUAAGAAAAAUUAAUUAAAAAAAUUUAAAAAUUUUAAGUUUUAAUAAUAAAAAGAUGUUGUAAAUAAAUAGUACAUAAUUGAUUUUUUUAGUAAAAGUAUAAUUUUUUAUUAAAAUUUCGUUCAAAUCCCCUUUAUAAUAUUGUUUGUAAAUUUUUCUGGAAGUAGAUGGAAAUGACCCAAUUACAUAUUUCCCCUGCUCACAGACAUUUUCAUUGCACCUAGAAAACCAGUUUUUUGUUAGAAAAUCGAUCCACAUCAAUGGCUCUUGUGAGAACAUCUCCAGGAACCUCCUCUGAUUCCAACACUUUUCGGAGUUAUCGCUACGACGUGUUCUUGAGCUUCAGAGGCGAAGAUACUCGCAAGACUUUUACCGACCACCUCUACACAGCCUUGAACAACGCAGGAUUUCUUACGUUCCGAGACGACGAUGAACUUGAGAGAGGAGAAGAUAUAAAGCCAGGACUGCAGAAAGCGAUCCAGCAGUCACGAACUUCUGUUGUCGUGUUUUCGAAAGAUUACGCUUCAUCCAGUUGGUGUCUUGAUGAGCUUGUGCUGAUCCUUGAACGCAAGAGGACCACCUCGGACCAUGUAGUUUUACCAGUCUUCUACGAUGUCGAUCCGUCCCACGUGAGGAAGCAGACAGGAAGUGUUGGAAAAGCAUUUGCUAGAAGCCAGAAAAAUCAGUCGCCGGAAAAGGUGCAGGGAUGGAGGAAGGCACUUGCAGAGAUUGCAGACCUAGCAGGCAUGGUCUUACAAAAUCAAGCUGAUGGGUAACUUUCAUUAUCUCCAUUUCUCAUCUUUCCUGGGUGAAUUUGAUGUAUGAUCCGUAAUGACCUAGAUUUUUAUAUGUUUAUUAAUUCAAUCUCAGUAGUGAAUAAUAAUCUCAAUUUAGGUCAACUUAAAGAAAUCACACUCAACUCAACUUAAGGAUUAGUCAUUUUCCAUGUUAAUCUACUGGUUUCCAGUUGCUUAAAUUUUUUUGAAAGCUGGUGUGGAAAAAGGUUAGGAUGUGAUCUGUCUAUAGUUCGUGUAAAUUAUGCGCUGUAUUCCUUUUUUUUUUCAAUUUAAUUUUGUCAGCAGUCCUCUUUUUUUUUUCUUAUUUAAAAAGGCAAUCAACAUAUGUUUUAAUUAUCUAAUUUCCCCAAUUCAUUUUUCAUUUUGUUUGCAAAUUCUUAGGUACGAGUCAAAGUUUAUCAAAAAAAUUGUUGAAGUGAUAGGAGACAAGUUAUGUCGUACGUCGUUGAGUGUUGAACCAAAAUUGAUUGGAAUUCAAUCUCAAGCCGAACGCAUCAAUUUGUGGUUACAAGAUGGAUCAAGUCAUGUUGGUAUAUUUGUUGUGUAUGGCAUGUCUGGAAUAGGGAAGACAACCAUUGCAAAACAUGUUUACAAUUCAAACUUUGGAAGCUUUCAAGGAAGUAGUUUCAUUGAAAAUAUCAAAGAAACAGCAGAUCGACCAAAUGGCUUAGUUCAAAUACAAAUGCAACUUCUUUGUGAUAUUUUGAACGGCAGAGAAGUGAAAAUACACAGUGUUAGUGAGGGAAUAAUUAAGAUUGAAAGGGCCAUAAGCACUAGAAGAGUUCUACUUGUUCUUGAUGAUGUUGACCAAAUGGACUAAUUCGAUGCAAUCCUAAGGAUGAAGGAUCAGUUUUAUCCUGGAAGUAAGAUACUAAUAACAACUAGGCGUGAAAGGCUGCUAAAGGCAGAUCAAGUUACAGAGGUGCACAGAGUUCAAACUUUGGAUUACAAUGAAUCAUUAAAGCUUUUCAGUUGGCAUGCUUUUGGCCAGGACCAUCCCAUAGAAGAAUACAUGGAGCACUCAAAACAGCUAGUGCAACAUAGCGACGGACUUCCAUUAGCUCUAAAAGUUUUGGGUUCUUCUUUAUCAGGGGAAAGUAUAGGUGUAUGGGAAAGUGCAUUGGAGAAGCUAAAAGUUAUUCCUGAUGGUGAAAUCAUAAACAAACUAAGAAUAAGCUAUGAAAGUUUAAAAGAUGACCAUGACCGGAAAUUAUUCCUCCACAUUGCUUGUUUCCUAAUAGGAAGGAACAAAACCUACAUUGUUAGAAUAUUCGAUGGAUGUGAUUUCUAUACAAUCAUUGGCAUUCAAAAUCUCAUUGAUAGAUGCUUGGUGACAUUUGAUGAACACGGCAAGGUGAAAAUGCAUGACAUGAUUCGUGCUAUGGGAAGAGAAAUUGUUCGCCAAGAAUCAGAAGAGCUUGAGGAACGUAGUAGAUUAUGGCGCCAUAAGGAUUCUUUCCAAGUAUUGAGGAAAAAGAAUGUAAGAAACAUGCCUUUUAUGUCUAUAUAUGUCUUUCUUCUUGUGAAAAUUAUGCAUAUUAAUGUCUUUUUUUUUUCCUUUAGGGUACAAAAAAAAUCCAAGGUCUUGUCCUGGAUAUGCGUAAUCAUUCUGCAAACAGUCCAAUAAACACAAAUGAGAUAGUCUUGGAAACCAAUGCAUUUGCAAGGAUGUGCAAUUUACAACUACUCCAUCUUAGUCAUGUACGACUGGAUGGAUGUUAUGCAGAUUUCCCUACAGGAUUAAGAUGGUUGUGUUGGCUUGAAUUUCCUUUGGAUUCUAUACCAAUUGAUUUUCCUUUGGAGAACGUAAUUGUUCUGGAAAUGCAAUACAGUAGCUUGAGACAAGUAUGCAAAGGAACAAAAGUAUGUUACUCUAUGCAUUUCAAUUCAUUUUCCUUAUUUUGUUAGUUUUUUAUUUGUUGACUAACUUCGUGUGUUAAAAUGAACUACUAUGUUUUCUUUAAUUCAAUGACUAAUUUCUUAUAUUAGAUACUUAUUUCAUUGUUAUUUUUUCUUCUUUUUUUUCCCUCUGUUUCCACAGUUUCUUCCAUCGUUGAAGAUCCUUGACGUCAGCCAUUCUCAUGGCCUUAGUGAAACCAUUGACUUCUCACUUUUCCCCAAUCUAGAGGAACUGAUUCUUGUAGAUUGCACAAGCCUGAAGAAUGUUCAUGAAUCCAUUGGAAGCUUGGAGAGACUCGUGUACUUGAAUAUAAAGGAUUGCAAGAAUCUUAGGAAGCUUCCGAAGAACAUGUGCAUGCUUAAGGCCCCGUUUGGGAUUGAGGUGAUUUUAAAAAAAGCCACUGUCAAAAAAAGCUGAGGAUCAUUUUUGUGUUUGGUAAACUGAAAAAAAAGGGCUUAUUUUGGAAGCUGCUGUGAGAAUAAGCUGAAAAUCAAAGAAAAAGCUGAAGCUGCUAUUUGCUGCUUUGAAAAAAAGCCAGUUUUUUCAAAGCACACGGAGCUACAGUGCUCCUUUAAUGAAAAGACACACUAUCAUCCUGCUUUUUUUUCCAAAAGCACUUUCACAAAAAAGUUUACCAAACACUCUACUGGCUUUAUUUCACAGCCGCUUAUUCUCACAGCACAGCUGCUUAUUCUUACAGCAGCUUUUUUUCAAAGCACAGCAAUACCAAACCAGCCCUAAAUCACUUGAACACUCAUUUUAUCUGGUUGCUCAAAUCUUGAUGAGUUUCCAAUGGAGAUGAUGAAGAUGGAGUCUCUGAAAGUUCUUGAGACAGAUGGACUUCCAAUAGGUAAAUUGUGGCCAGAAAGAAGUUCAACUAUCUUGAGUUCUUUUCCAUGCUCUUUAGUAGAGUUAAGUCUGAAGGGGUGCAAUCUUUCUGAUGAUGUCCUUCCUACGGAUUUAAGUAAUCUAUCCAAUUUGCAGUCUGCCAGUUUUCAUCAAAGGUUUGAGGAAGAUCGAUGAACUCUCUUUCAAGGGUUGUGAUAGGCUCGAAUCGCUUGUGGGGUUGCCGGAAGUACACCAAUGGCUAAGUAUAGCCGGAUGCAUAUCAUUAAAAAAAAUAACUUUUCAUUCCCCUGAGCAACCGUAUCUAGUACGUGGGGGUGACAACUCGAAUAACUGUAAUUGCUGUUACAAGUUACAGCCUUUUGAUAGAGUUGAUGUGAAAAUGAUCAAACUUAUGGGCUUGUGCAACUUUGAAUCCAUGCCAGCUGUUCAAAUGCGUAAUUCAUACACAUACAGGGAUCCAAAAGAGGUCCCCGUCCAGGUGCGCCUCUCUUUCUCUCUCUCAUAAGUCUUAAAUAUAUAAUGGGAAAGAAAUUACUGAGUAAUGUUGUGAUGACUGUGGCAAAUACAUAGGGACUGUAUCAAUUUGGUGUAUUCAGCACUUUUUUUGUUGGGAAUGAGGUUCCAGGCCGGUUCAGCUAUAAAAGUACGAAGUAUUCGAUAUCUUUUAUUGUCCCUUUACUACUUGCUAGUCACAGAAUUCGAGGCUUGAACAUCUUUGCUACCUAUGCAAAGGAAAAUUCAAAUAAUUAUUCUACUGGACCUAUUAUUGUUCCAAUAAUGAUCAAAGUGAGAAACAAGAGCAAGGGUUUGAAGUGGAUCUAUUGCCCAUUAUCCUAUGGAAUCCCAGGUGACGGAGAAGAUAUGAUAUGGUUGAGCCAUUGGAAGAUGGAGAAUAAUACAAUAUUACAAUGUGGAGAUGAAGUGGUGGUUUCGGUAAUAACCGGACCACGUGACUUGUUUUUGGUAAAGGAGUUUGGUGUCGAGCUUGUGCAAGAGCACCAAGACAAGAUGAGUACCCAACACAACACCAAAUCAGAUCCUAAUUAUCCAUUUGUUAUCGGUGGAGAUUUGAAGACGUGGAAGUGCAAACCAGGAAUAUACUUCCUUAGCUGUAGGAGACGAGAAGAUACUGACGACAUUGAUAUCCUCACCAUGGACUCUGAUGAAGAAGACACAAGUAUGUUGUGUUGUUGUAUAGCAUUGAAUUAUACUCCAUCCAAACACUUCCGGGUGUGUCCGUAUUCAUUUCAAAAACAUUUCCAAUAAAUUUUAUGUUAUUUGUAUGUUUUUCAGACAAAGAAGGGCAAGAGGAUGAACCUGAUUACACAAUUGCAAAGACGAUGGCAGCUAGCAAUAACUGCAGCCUAAGAGGAUGGAAGGUGCGCCUCACAGCUGUCGGCUUCUUUUUCGCGCUUGCUCUAGUUGGUUGGUCCUCCAUCUCGCAAAAAAAGAAGCGACACUCGUCCACAAGCCCACCAUGAGUUUGUAAUUUGACUUGAUAUAGAUAUAUCUUUGCAUUCCUUGCUCUCAAGAUGUUUUCUACCUUCGAAACUUCAAGUUUAGAGCUAAGCACUUUAACCGCUUGAGAUAUAAAAGCCCCUUGCAACUAGAUACCGAAGUUCAAAUGUGUUCAACGCCAUCAAAUAUAGCAUAAAAUACAUCCAGCAUUAGCGAUACUAGCAUAGUAGCAGUAAAUAAGUAAAACCAAAAAAUGCUUCCACACAUGGUAAGGGAAGGACUUUACAUAGGAAUCUUUAGCAAUAACGGGCAAGAUUUUUUUGUUUUUGGGAGGAGGUGGAUUAUUUCGGCACCGGGGAAAACAAAAACAUCCCAUCUUAGUUGUCGUUUACAACAAAAUCAUUCUUAAAGACUCGGCUCCCCAUUGAAAUUGUGUAAAUUGCAUAAAUAUCAAUACAACAGAUAUUAAAUAGAAUAAUAUAUAUCAAAUAAAUUAACGACAAGCAAUUUCUUAGCCUGAGAUCCAAGGACUUUACAGCUGGUUCAGCCUUGCAUUCGCUACUACAUUACAGAAGCUGGUUUCUGCUUCUUCAACCUGAACAAAUUAUUGAGGUCAGGAAGUAUAAGAGGAACGACCAUAGUCUCUGGAGCCAUGAAAUUUACUAUCUUCUUUUGGGCAUUGUACCUGCAAAAGCAUAAUGCAAUAAGCAUUCAACAAUCUGACCUAGUUUUCUCAACAGAUACUCCAAGAUAUUCCAAAACAAAGUCACAGCAAUUUCACAUAGGGAACCGAAGAAUCAUGUUCGUCCACUCUACACAUCCAAAGCAGCAAACUAACAAUUUCACAUAGGAUACCAGGUUGGGAGGAUACAAUCAUUAACAAUUUCAAAAGCUUUAAAUGCAAUCUGAAUACAUGGCAAGUAGGGGUAAACAUGUGAACAGAAAAAAUCAGUGAACAUAAUCAAAUCCAAUACGUCAAUUUUGGCCUAGAUUGAAAUGAAAAAAAAACAAGGAAAUGCUUUGUUGUUUUUGAAGGAAAUAAAACCUAUUUCAUGGAAAUAAAACCUGUGGUUACCUUUGUCUUCCUUUGCCAUUUGUCUAUCGAUUUGUUUCUGAAAGUGGCUAUUCUACAAGAUACAGCAUGACAGGUCCUAGUUAGACCAAGCAACCGGCAUGGAAAUGCUUUCUGAAGCAAGAAUCUGAACUCAAGAGCUUUGUGCCAGAGAGACUUCAGAAAAAUGAAAAAAAACAACAUAGAAUAUGGGUAAGAAUAAACAUCGAUCAAACAAUAAUUCACUGUAUAAAACAUUUUUUCAACUUUAAAGUGUGGCUUAAAAAGAAGCUUUAAACAAGUAGCAAUAAUUUCAUAUUGAAAAAUAAAACCUGGAUAUUACAAGAGCCAUUAUUUUGAAAGACACACCUUUUGGUUCUUCACUACUUGACUUUUAAGAAGAUCUUCGUCCUUGUCACGAUUCAGAUUCUUUAAAAUAUCUCUGCGAUGGAAUAAACAAAACCAAUCUAGGCCAAAAUUGACUUAUUCGAUUUGAUUAUGUUCACUGAUUUUUCUAUUCACAUGUUUACCCCUUACUUGCCAUAUGGUUUUGGGGUGUUAGUGCAUAGUGCUCUUCUCUUUACACACCUGUUUCAUUUGUAUUCGUUGUAAAUUAAGAGACCGUUUGAUAAUCAUUUCGUUUUCAAUUUAAAAAAUAUAAAAAACUAAAUAAAGUUUUCUAAAUUUGACCUAGAAUUUUUCGCUUUUGGUUUUUAAUUUUUUUUUUUAACAACUGAAAACUAAAAAUAGUUACAAAUUUUUUUUUCAGUUUUUAAUUUACAAAAAAGUAAAAACUGAAAACUCUAAACUAUAGACUAAAAAUUAAAAAGUGAAAUCGAAAUGGGCUCUCAACAAAAUUGAAAAAAGACUGGGCUGAAUUACUGAAUUCAAAGCAGGGCUUAUUAACGCUACGAGGCCCAAUGGAUCUGUAUAAAUAUUUUUUGUUUUUUUUUAACAAACGAUAUUAUCUAUAUGGGCUUAACCUUACAAUAGGCUAACAAUAAUGUGGUUCAAAUUUAUUUUUGACGAGAAUCGAACCUAAAACUUCUCGCUUACAAAUGAAGAGGAAUACCACUAAAUCAUAGUCCUGAUAUUUUAUUUAAUAUUUUAAGAAAAAAGAAAGAAAGCAAUGAAAAGCUGUACAUAAACUAAAUACAAAAAGGAAUGAAAUGAAGAAGAGUGGGAGACUAACGUUUAAUUCAAGAUAAAGAAAGAAAGGUAAUCGCACCCCGACGGCGGCGACGUGGCGGUCAUUUAACGGAAAAUAACAGACAAAUCAGCCUCCAGAUCAAGUCUUGAAGCACAACUCUGAAAAAUCGACACUACCUACAGCUGAGCUCCGACCAACCGUUGAUGGAUGCAAUCCGGAAGCUCAGAGAUCAAGUCGCCAAGCAACAGCAGGUACUCUCUCUCUUGUUUGAUUCCGAAUUUGUAUUUCUGUAUGGAUUAUGAUAUGAACAUAAUCUGCGUUGAUUGCGAGAUACUAAGAUUGCUUAAUGAAAUAAUAUUUAUAUAAUUGUUCAAAUUGAAUUGGAUCGAAUUCGAAUAGAUUUUUCACUAUUUCUGAGCUGUUUGGGGCUGUGUUGGAGUGUAUUGUUGCUGAAUUUCUGAAAUUUUGAAUCUAGCAAACACCAGUUCUUUUUGUUUGAACAUCGAUCCACAUCAAUGGCUCUUGUGAGAACAUCUCCAGGAACCUCCUCUGAUUCCAACACUUUUCGGAGUUAUCGCUACGACGUGUUCUUGAGCUUCAGAGGCGAAGAUACUCGCAAGACUUUUACCGACCACCUCUACACAGCCUUGAACAACGCAGGAUUUCUUACGUUCCGAGACGACGAUGAACUUGAGAGAGGGGAAGAUAUAAAGCCAGGACUGCAGAAAGCGAUCCAGCAGUCACGAACUUCUGUUGUCGUGUUUUCGAAAGAUUACGCUUCAUCCAAGUGGUGUCUUGAUGAGCUUGUGCUGAUCCUUGAACGCAAGAGGACCACCUCGGACCAUGUAGUUUUACCAGUCUUCUACGAUGUCGAUCCGUCCCACGUGAGGAAGCAGACAGGAAGUGUUGGAAAAGCAUUUGCUAGAAGCCAGAAAAAUCAGUCGCCGGAAAAGGUGGAGGGAUGGAGGAAGGCACUUGCAGAGAUUGCAGACCUAGCAGGCAUGGUCUUACAAAAUCAAGCUGAUGGGUAACCUUCAUUAUCUCCAUUUCUCUUCUCUUUGUUGGGUCAAUUUGAUGUAUGAUCCGUAGUGACAUAGAUUUUUAUAUAUUUAUUAAUUCAAUCUCAGUAGUGAAUAAUAAUCCCAAUUCAGGUCAACUUAAAGAAAGCACACUCAACUCAACUUAAGGAUUAGUCAUUUUCCAUGUUAAUCUACUGGUUUCCAGUUGCUUAAAUUUUUUUUGAAAGCUGGUGUGGAAAAAAGUUAGGAUGUGAUCUGUUUUGUAUUUGUCUAUAGUUUGUAUAGAUUAUGCGCUGUAUUCCUUUUUUUUUCAAUUUAAUUUUGUCAGGCAAUCAACAUAUGUUUUAAUUAUCUAAUUUCCCCAAUUCAUUUUUCAUUUUGUUUGCAAAUUCUUAGGUACGAGGCAAAGUUUAUCGAAAAAAUUGUUAAAGUGAUAGAAGACAAGUUAAGUCGUAUGCCAUUGAGUGUUGAACCAAAAUUGAUUGGUAUUCAAUAUCAAGCCGAACGCAUCAAUUUGUGGUUACAAGAUGGAUCAAGUGGUGUUGGUAUAUUUGUUGUGUAUGGCAUGUCUGGAAUCGGGAAGACAACCAUUGCAAAACAUGUUUACAAUUCAAACUUUAGAAGCUUUCAAGGAAGUAGUUUCAUUGAAAAUAUCAAAGAAACAGCAGAUCGACCAAAUGGCUUAGUUCAAAUACAAAUGCAACUUCUUUGUGAUAUUUUGAACGGCAGAGAAGUGAAAAUACACAGUGUUAGUGAGGGAAUAAUUAAGAUUGAAAGGGCCAUAAGCUCUAGAAGAGUUCUACUUGUUCUUGAUGAUGUUGACCAUAUGGACCAAUUAGAUGCAAUCCUAAGGAUGAAAGAUCAGUUUUAUCCGGGAAGUAAGAUACUAAUAACAACUAGGCGUGAAAGGUUGCUAAAGGCAGAUCAAGUUACAGAGGUGCACAGAGUUCGGACUUUGUAUUACAAUGAAUCAUUAAAGCUUUUCAGUUGGCAUGCUUUUGGCCAGGACCAUCCCAUAGAAGAAUACAUGGAGCACUCAAAACAGCUUGUGCAACAUAGCGACGGACUUCCAUUAGCUCUAAAAGUUUUGGGUUCUUCUUUAUCAGGGGAAAGUAUAGGUGUAUGGGAAAGUGCAUUGGAGAAGCUAAAAGUUAUUCCUGAUGGUGAAAUCAUGAAUAAACUAAGAAUAAGCUAUGAAAGUUUAAAAGAUGACCAUGAUCGGAAAUUAUUCCUCCACAUUGCUUGUUUCCUAAUAGGAAGGAACAAAAGCUACAUUGUUAGAAUACUCGAUGGAUGUGAUUUCUAUACAAUCAUUGGCAUUCAAACUCUCAUUGAUAGAUGCUUGGUGACACUUGAUGAACACGGCAAGGUGAAAAUGCAUGACAUGAUUCGUGCUAUGGGAAGAGAAAUUGUUCGCCAAGAAUCAGAAGAGCUUGAGGAACGGAGUAGAUUAUGGCGCCAUAAGGAUUCUUUCCAAGUAUUGAGGAAAAAGAAUGUAAGAAACAUGCCUUUUAUGUCUAUAUAUGUAUUCCUUCUUGUGAAAAUUAUGCAUAUUAAUGUCUUUUUUUUUCCUUUAGGGUACAAAAAAAAUCCAAGGUCUUGUCCUGGAUAUGCGUAAUCAUCCUGCAAACAGUCCAAUAAACACAAAUGAGAUAGUCUUGGAAACCAAUGCAUUUGCAAGGAUGUGUAAUUUACAACUACUCCAUCUUAGUCAUGUACGACUGGAUGGAUGUUAUGCAGAUUUCCCUACAGGAUUAAGAUGGGUGUGUUGGCUUGAAUAUCCUUUGGAUUCUAUACCAAUUGAUUUUCCUUUGGAGAACGUAAUUGUUCUUGAAAUGCAAUACAGUAGCUUGAGACAAGUAUGCAAAGGAACAAAAGUAUGUUACUCUAUGCAUUUCAAUUCAUUUUCCUUAUUGUGUUAGUUUCUUAUUUGUUGACUAACUCCAUGUGUUAAAAUGAACUACUAUGUUUUCUUUAAUUCGAUGACUAAUUUCUUAUGUUAGAUACUUAUUUCAUUGUUCUUUUUUCUUUUCUUUUUUUCCCUCUGUUUCCACAGUUUCUUCCAUCGUUGAAGAUCCUUGACGUCAGCCAUUCUCAUGGCCUUAGUGAAACCAUUGACUUCUCACUUUUCCCCAAUCUAGAGGAACUGAUUCUUGUAGAUUGCACAAGCCUGAAGAAUGUUCAUGAAUCCAUUGGAAACCUAGAGCGACUCGUGUACUUGAAUAUGAAGGAUUGCAAGAAUCUUAGGAAGCUUCCGAAGAACAUGUGCAUGCUUAAAUCACUUGAAACGCUCAUUUUAUCUGGUUGCUCAAAUCUUGAUGAGUUUCCCUUGGAGAUGAUGAAGAAGAUGGAGUCUCUGAAAGUUCUUGAGACAGAUGGAAUUCCAAUAAGUGAAUUGUGGCCAGAAAGAAGUUCAACUAUCUUGAGUUCUUUUCCACGCUCUUUAGUAGAGUUAAGUCUGAAGGGAUGCAAUCUUUCUGAUGAUGUCUUUCCUACGGAUUUAAGUAAUUUAUCCUACUUGCGAGGACUACAUUUAGAUGAGAAUCCAAUUUGCAGUCUGCCAGUUUUCAUCAAAGGUUUGAGGAGGAUCGAUAAACUCUCUUUCAAGGGUUGUGAUAGGCUUGAAUCGCUUGUGGGGUUGCCGGAAGUACACCAAAUAAUGAGUAUAGUCAGAUGCAUAUCAUUAAAAAAAUAACUUUUCAUUCCCCUGGGCAACAUCAUCUAUCACGUGUAAUUUACAAUGACAACCGGAAUCUUGUUGAGGCGGAGUGUUUUUACAAGUUAGAGCCUAUUGAUAGAGUUGAUGUGGAAAUGAUCAAACUUUUGGGCUUGUGCAACUUGGAAUCCAUGCCAGCUGUUCGAAUGCAUCAUCCACUCACAAACUGGGAUCUAAUAGACGUCCCCGUCCAGGUGCGCCUCUUUUUCUCUCUCUCUCAUAAGUCUUAAAUAUAUAAUGGGAAAGAAAUGACUGAGUAAUGUUGUGAUGACUGUGGCAAAUACAUAGGGACUGUAUCAACAUGGUAUAUUCAGCACCUUUUUUGUUAGGAAUGAGGUUCCAGGCCUGUUCAGCUAUAAAAGUACCAAGUCCUCGAUAUCUUUUAUUGUCCCUUUACUACUUGCUAGUCACAGAAUUCGAGGCUUAAACAUCUUUGCUACCUAUGCAAAGGAAAAUUCAAAUAAUUAUUCUACUGGACCUAUUAUUGCUCCAAUAAUGAUCAAAGUGAGAAACAAGAGUAAGGGUCUGAAGUUGAUCUAUGACCCUGAGUUCUACGGAAUUCCAGGUGACGGAGAAAAUAUGAUAUGGUUGAGCCAUUGGAUGAUGGAGAAUAAAACAAUAUUACAAUGUGGAGAUGAAGUGGUGGUUUCGGUAAUAACCGGACCACGUGACAUGUUUUGGGUAAAGGAGUUUGGUGUCGACCUUGUGCAAGAGCACCAAGACAAGAUGAGUACCCAACACAACACCAAAUCCGAUCCUAAUUAUCCAUUUGUUAUCGGUGGAGAUUUGAAGAUGUUUGAGCGCAGACCGGGAAUAUACUUCCUUGGCAAUUAUGCAAGAAAAGAUAUUGAUGACAUUGAUAUCCUCACCAUGGCCUCUGAUGAAGAAGACACAAGUAUGUUGUGUUGUUGUAUAGCAUUGAAUUAUACUCCAUCCAAACACUUCCAUGUGUGGUCCGUAUUCAUUUCAAAAAUGUUUCCAAUAAAUGUUAUGUUAUUUGUAUGUUUUUCAGACAAAGAAAGACAAGAGGAUGAACCUGAUUACACAAUUGCAAAGACGAGGGCUGCUAGCAAUAACUGCAGCUUGAGAGGCUGGAAGGUGCGCCUCACAGCUGUCGGCUUCUUUUUUUCGCUUGCUCUAGUAGGUUGGUCCUCCAUCUCCCAAAAAAAGAAGCGACACUCGUCCACAAGCCCACCAUGAGUUUGUAAUUUGACUUGAUAUAGAUAUAUCUUUGCAUUCCUCUCAGGAUGUUUUCUAUCUUCAAAACUUCAAGUUCGCUAAGCACGCUUAACCGCUUGAGAUAUAAAAGCCCCUUGCAACUAGAUACCAAAGUUAAAAUGUGUUCAAAACAUCAAAUAUAGCAUAAAAUACAUCCAGCAUUAGUUAUACUAGCAGAGUAGCAAUAAAUAAGUAAAACAAAAAAAUGCUUCCACACACGGUAAGGGAUGGACUUUGACAUAGGUAUCUUUAGAGCAAUUCCACCCCUAAGGACUUUGCGUCCGCACCUAGCGCAUUUAUCCACUCAAAUGAACAGUAACAGACUCUAAUGAACAGUAAUAGGCCAAGCAUCUCCACCCCUAAAAAAAUGCGCUGGCACCUAGUAAAAAAAUGCGUUGGCACAAACGAUCUUCAUCCCUACAAAAUGCGCUGGCACCCAGCCCAUUUAAAAUAUUUUUAAAUGUUGUCUAAAAGAAUAAAAAAAUAAAAUAGUUUUAAUUUCGGAUAGGAUUUUUAACUAAUCUCGUCACACCACAUGUCAUUAUCUGAACGUACUAUUUUGUGAAUAGAUUUCCGCUAAGAUUUUCUGUAUUUUUUAAUAAUUUUUAAUGAAUUUUAAUAUAGUUAAUUAAUCUGGACCGUUAGAUUUGAAAAAAUAUUCAAAUCCAAGAGACAGGGAGUUGCCACGUGGCCAACAGUCAUAUUUCUGACCGUUGGGCCUUUUUUUUUUUUUUUUACUUUUUUGUAAAAAAAACGUGGACCGUUGAUCUUUGAUCCGACAGUCUAUUUUAAAAGUAAAAUUUAAAUUUUUUUACCGUUGGAAAUCCAACGGUCUAGAAAAGGGAGCCACGUCGCCAACUCGAGGGGGGGGGGGAAACUGAGUGCGCCACGCGGGCCCGCCUUCUGAAAUCUUGUCGGGCACUCGCGCCAGCACCUCCAUGAAGCGCACGCGCAAGGCAAACUGCCCAGCUUCUUGCUCAGUCUCGUUUGGGCUGGGUACCAGUCAAGUUGAAGGGGUGGACUUGGUUGACAGGGUGCUGGCCUUGUUUUUGUGCUGGAUCCUGGGCAAAUUCCACUGGGGUGGAAUUGCUCUUAGCAAUAACGGGCAAGAUUUUUUUUAGGGAGGGGGAAGGGAUUAUUUUGGCAUCGGGGAAAACAAAAACAUCCUAUCUGCUUAUGAAUGACAAAUUUACAAAUCUUAAUUGUCGUUUACAACAAAAUCAUUCUUAAAGACUCGGCUCCCCAUUGAAAUUGUGUAAAUUGCAUAUAUAACAAUACAACAGAUAUUAGAUAGAAUAAUAUAUAUCAAAUAAUUUAACGAUAGGACUUUACAGUUGGUUCAGCCUUGCAUUGCUACUACGCUACAGAAGCUGGUUUCUGCUUCUUCCACCUGAACAAAUUAUUGAGGUCAGGAAGUAUAGGAGGAACGGCCAUAGUCUCUGGAGCCAAGAAAUUUACUAUCUUCUCAUGAACAUUGUACCUGCAAAAGCAUAAUGCAAUAAGCAUUCAACAAUCUGACCUAGUUUGCUCAACAGAUGCUCUAAGAUAUUCCAAAACAAAGUCACAACAAUUUCACAUAGGGAACCGAAGAAUCAUGUUCAUCCACUCAACACAUCCAAAGCAGCAAACUAACUAGGAUACCAGGUUGGGAGGAUACAAUCAUUAACAAUUUCAAAAGCUUUAAACGCAAUCUGAAUAUAUGGCAAGUAGGGGUAAACAUGUGAACAGAAAAGUCAAAGAACAUAAUCAAAUCGAAUAAGUCAAUUUUGGCCUAGAUUGAAAUGAAAAAAAAAACAAGGAAAUGCUUUGUGUAUCGAUUUGUUUAUGAAGGAAAUAAAUGCUUUGUGUAUCCAUUCGUCUAUCAAUUUGUUUCUGAAAGUGGCUAUUCUACAAGAUACAGCAUGACAGGUCUUAGUUGGACCAAGUAACCGGCAUGGAAAUGCUUUCUGAAGCAAGAAUCUGAACUCAAGAGUUUUGUGCCAGAGAGACUUCAGAAAAAUGAAAAAAACAACAUAGAAUAUGGGUAAGAAUAAACAUCGAUUAGACAAUAAUUCACUGUAUAAAUAAUUUUUUCAACUUUAAAGUGUGGCUUAAAAAGAAGCUUUAAACAAGUAGCAAUAAUUUCAUAUUGAAAAAUAAAACCUAUUUCAUGGAUAUUACAAGAGCCAUUAUUUUGAAAAACACACCUUUUGGUUCUUCACUGCUUGACUUUUAAGAAGUUCUUUGUUCUUGUGACAAUUCAGAUUCUUUAAAAUAUCUCUGCAACGGAAUAAACAAAACCAAUCUAGGCAAAAAUUGACUUGUUCGAUUUGAUUAUGUUCACUGAUUUUUCUGUUCACAUGUUUACCCCUACUUGCCAUAUAGUUUUAGUUUUGGGGUGUUAGCGCAUAGUGCUCUUCUCUUUACACACCAGUUUCAAUUUUAUUCUUCGUAAAUUAAGAGACCGUUUGAUAAUCAUUUCGUUUUCAAUUUUAAAAAAUAUAAAAAACUAAAUAAAGUUUUCAAAAUUUGACCUAGAAUUUUCGCUUUUGGUUUUCAAUUUUAAUUUUUUUUUAAACAACUGAAAACUAAAAAUAGUUACAAAAAGAAUUUUUCAGUUUUUAAUUUACAAAAAAGUAAAAACUGAAAACUCUAUACUAUAGACUAAAAAUUAAAAAGUGAAAUCGAAAUGGGCUCUCAACAAAAUUGAAAAAAGACUGGGCUGAAUUACUGAAUUCAAAGCAGGGCUUAUUAACGUUACGAGGCCCAAUGGAUAUGUAUAAAUAUUUUUCGUUUUUUGUUUAACAAACGAUAUUAUUUAUAUGGGCUUAAUGUUACAGUGAGCUAACAAUAAUGUGGUUCAAAUUUGCUUUUCGUAAGAAUCGAAUCUAAAACUUCUCACUUAGAGAAAUACCUCUAAACCGUAAUCUGAGUGGCUCGUUAUUUUAUUUUAUAUUUUAAGAAAAAAGAAAGAAAGCAAUGAAAAGCUGUACAUAAAAUAAAUACAAAAAGCUAAGAAAUGAAGAAGAGUGGGAGACUAACGUUUAAUUCAAGAUAAAGAAAGAAAGGUAAUCGCAAGACGACGGCGGCGACGUGGCGGUCAUUAAACGGAAAAUAACAGACAAAUCAGCCUCCAGAUCAAGUCUUGAAGCACAACUCUGAAAAAUCGAGACUACCUACAGCUGAGCUCCGACCAACCGUUGAUGGAUGCAAUCCGGAAGCUCAGAGAUCAGGUCGCCAAGCAACAGCAGGUACUCCCUCUCGUUUGAUUCCGAAUUUGUAUUUCUGUAUGGAUUUUGAUAUGAACAUAAUCUGCGUUGAUUGCGAGAUACUGAGAUUGCUUAAUGAAAUAAUAUUUAUAUAAUUGUUCGAGUUGAAUUGGAUCGAUUCGAAUUCAAAUAGAAUUUCACUAUUUCUGAGCUGUUUGGGGAUGUGUUGGAGUGCAAUGUUGAUGAAUUUCUGAAAUUUUGAGCUAGGUGUUGCUAAUUACUUAUCAAUUUUUGAUGUAAUUGGAUGCUUAAUUUUUACAUUUUCGGAAAACUUCAAGCGAAAAUGGCAUAUAAUUCAACGUUCCAUGCUUCAUUAAUGCAUAUGAGUUAGUCGAAGCUUCAUCGAGUUUGCUUUUGAUUAUUUUGUGAACACCGUCAGGCCGUGUUCAAACAAUUUUCUGGUGGCAUAUAUGGGGGAUCGGAUAAUGUUGCCUCGGAUGAAAAUGAAUUUCAACAGCAUCAGAAACUCGAGAAGCUGUACAUAUCAACUCGUGCUGCCAAGGUUGCUACGCUUAUUUUUGUCUGUGCUUUAAACGAGCAUCACGUUAGUUGUGUUACCUAUCGUUUUUUGCUUCUUCUUUAACAGCAUUACCAAAAGGAAAUUGUCCGCGGAGUGGAAGGUUACAUUGUGGCCGGUUCAAAGCACGUUGAAAUAGGUAUGUUGCUUGAAAUGCGUUGUCUUUUCUUGGGAGUUUGGAUAUGAAUUCGUGUUGGUUUUAUCAGCUGGUAUACAUAAUACUUUUUCAACAGGUACGAAGCUAUCAGAAGAUAGCAGGAAAUAUGGUUCUGAAAAGACUUGCACCAGUGGUAACACAUUGUCGAGAGCUGCACUGAGUUUUGGAAGAGCUCGGGCCCAAAUGGAAAAAGAGUGCGGAGUUCUACUUAAAGCCCUUGGCACACAGGUUUAAGUCAAAUUAUUACUAACAAUGGCUCAUUAAGUAAAAAUCAAAUAUUGCCAGGGCCAGUUUCAUACAAAUGGAAUUUCAACUGACUAAUUUUCGUGUGCAUUUGAUCAUUUCGAAAGAAAUUUACAGCAAAAAUUGUUUUCAUUUCCACGUCGUGGUUCAAGAAUUGGACUACUUUUUGUGUUUCUAUGCAUCGUAUGACAAACUGGCUCACCAUUUCUUUCUAUAGGUUUGCAUAAUAACUCUUUGUGUGCUUAUCAAUUUGCCUGUGUAGGUUGCAUAGCCUUUAUAGUGGGAGCGCCCAUGGAGGAUGCUCGACAUCUUGCUCAACGUUAUGCUAGAAUGCGGCAAGAAGCUGAAGCUCAGGUAUAUGCAGUUUCUUCUGUUUCCUACCAAUUUUAUUCUACAGUGAUUUUAUAUCCAAAACAAGCAUUGACUUGGCUGUCCAUCCAUCAAUAGCAGGUCCACAUCUCAACCCAAAUAUAAUGACGUCAAAGGAGAGGGGAAAAUGAGAAGGAAACUCUGGAGGGUAGAGGGAAGGAAAAGGAGAAAAGGAGAAAGGGAGAAGGGAAAAGUAGAACGGGAAGGAGGAAAAUGAGAGGAAAUUUCGGAGAAUAGAGAAAAGGAGAAGGGAAAAGAAGAAAAGCAGAAAAGAAGGGAAAAGGGGAAGGAAGCUUAGGAGGCUAGAGAAAAAGAGGGAAAUGCAUAAAAAUAAAAAAAUAAAAAAGGAAAGUCGCCUUCAUCAUUAUGUCUACUAACGGAAAGGAGCAACCACAUUGUAAAUUAUACUAAAAAUAUGACUUUAACCCCUCAAACUCAAUUUCUUUCAUAUAAAACCCGACAUAACAUUUUUACUCGAAUAAAACCCAAUGACUAGACUUCACAUAAGCAAAUUCAUUAAUUAUGACAUUUUAAAAAUUUCUAAUGCCUAAAAUACCCCUGUUUGCAUGUUUAAUGUGCACAAUUAAACAUAUGCAGAUUUUAAGGAGGAUUAAUGAUUUUACAAAAAUAAAAUAAUAAAAAAGGCACAAAUAUUCUAAAUGCAUUGCAUGUUAUAUGAAUUUGGUUGAUUCAUGUUUCUCUCACUUCAUAAAAUUUGCUUCUAAUUUGAUAUAGGAAUUAAUUUGGAAAGUUUUCUUAAUCUUAAUAACAAUUUUCAAUUUAAAUAUAUUUUUUAAUGAAAUAGUCUAUCUUUUAAAAUAAUUAUCAAUAAAAUAAUGAAAUAGUCUAUCUUUUCAAUUUAAAUAAUGUACCUGUUAUUUAAUUUUUACAACACUAAUGUAUCUUAAAAAAUAAUUUACUUAUUGUUUAGUUUUAGCAAAAAUAAUUUACCUACUGUGUAUAAUUGGUGAAGCUAAUGAUGUACAUAUUGUUUAAUUUUUUAAAAAUUAAUGUAUGUACAAAAAUAAUUUAUCUAUUGUUCAAAUUUUAGGAUAAAAAUUUACAUGUUUUUAUUUAACAAUAAUGUAUCUACAAUUUAUUUUUGUAUGAAUAUAAUUUACCUACUUUUUAAUUUUAUAUGAAACUAAUUUACCUACUGUGUCAGUAAUGUAUCUACAAUUUUACAUACAAUAUUUACCUUCUUUUUUUUUUUCACAACAAUAGUGUAUCUACAAUUUUGUUUUUGUAUGAAUAUAGUUUACCUACAAUUUAACUUUUCAAAAAAUGUAUCUUCUAUUUUAUAGUUUACUAUCAUAUAUAUGUUUAUGUGUUCGCAAAAUAAUUUAUCUAAAGUUAUAUAGUUAAGAGAUAUGCUAAUGAAUUAUAUUAAUUCAUUAUUAGACUGAUAUAAGAAAUUGUUAAAAACGUUAGCCAUAAUGGUUGGCUAAUAAUGGUUGUAUGAGAACAGUUAUAGAAAGUUGUGGCAUAAAUUGUAAAUAACUUAUAUUAAUAGGUUACUUAUUUUCUUAUUUGGUAAUUUAUUUAAAUUUUGGGUUUUGAUUGAAUGUUUAUUCAUAGGUGGGUUUUUAUCUGAAGUAUAUGAGUUGUAUGGGUCUAUAUCUAAACAACCCUAAAUUAUAUUUUGUAUAAUGAGAAACCAGUAUUCCUACCCCGAGGGUAUAGACACAACUUACUAAAUCUCGUUACUAUACAGCAAGCUUAUAAUUGCGCAAUAAUUCGAUCAACCAUCUUAAGUUCAACCAUUCAUGUAACAAGAUUCAAGUUUUCUAAACUUUCCUUAUUAAGGUAACUGAACAUUACAAGUGCCACGUUAUUAUGCGGUUCUAUCAAGUUUUAAUUUUUGUCUCAUAACCACAUCAUCUUUAGGACAAUCAUCUUGUAGUUGAAUAUAUAAACCUUCGAUAUGGCGAUAUUGGAAACGCUUGUUGGUGGGUUGAUUGGUAGAAAUGGUUCCAACAAUUCAAGGAUGAGAAAUGAGCAUUGAGCAACGAACAAAAUAUAUUGUAUUUUAUCACAAAAGAUGUUUGUGCAAUUAAAAGUGCAUUUUAUCACAAAGAGGUGAGCAACGAUCAAUAUAAUUGUUAUUUAUAAAAGGGAACAUUAACAAAAGUUUCCGGUACUGUUUAUUUUAAUAAAAAAUUACAUUUUUACAUUAAAAGUCAAUACUGAUACUAUUUAUUUUACCCUUUAUUUUAUCUUUAUUAUUAAAACUCAAAAUUUUUAAAUUUCUUUUAUUAAUUUUUUUUUUAUAAAAUCACACGUAAAACAAGAAGUAAUCUUUUCUUUUUCUUUUCGUCUCUGCCACAAGCGGCCGACCAUGACUUAAACAAACGCUUUUUGGGUGGGUCAAGGUAUGGGAACGACCCAUUUUAUAUGUUACAUGGUUGUGCAAUUAAAAGUGCAUUGUAUCAUAAAAAGGUGAGCAACGAUCACUAUAAUUGUUAUUUAUAAAAUCACACAAAACACAAGAAGGAAUCUUUUCUUUUUCUUUUUCAUCUCUGCCACUACCAGCCAUGACUUAAAAGAAACGUUUUUUGGUUCAAUGGAUGGGAACGGCCCAUUUUAUAAUAAGGAAAAUUAAUAAAAAAAAAUUUUAAAUUUAAAUUUUAACGAAAAUAAUAAAAAGAUGUUGUAAGUGAAUAAUACAUGAUUGAUUUUUUUGAAUAAAAAAAUAUAUAUUGUUUUAAAUAAACAGUAUUAGGAGUGUUUGGUUCAAAUCCCUUUAUAAUAUUGUUCGUAAAUUUUUCUGGAAGUAGAUGGAAAUGACCCAAUUACAUAUUUCCCCUGCUCACAGACAUUUUCAUUGCACCUAGAAAACCAGUUUUUUGUUAGAAAAUCGAUCCACAUCAAUGGCUCUUGUGAGAACAUCUCCAGGAACCUCCUCUGAUUCCAACACUUUUCGGAGUUAUCGCUACAACGUGUUCUUGAGCUUCAGAGGCGAAGAUACUCGCAAGACUUUUACCGACCACCUCUACACAGCCUUGAACAACGCAGGAUUUCUUACGUUCCGAGACGACGAUGAACUUGAGAGAGGAGAAGAUAUAAAGCCAGGACUGCAGAAAGCGAUCCAGCAGUCACGAACUUCUGUUGUCGUGUUUUCGAAAGAUUACGCUUCAUC
rnacentral:lncRNA from 1 species